rnacentral:rRNA from 1 species
AACGCUAGCUACAGGCUUAACACAUGCAAGUCCAGGGGCAGCAUUUUAGUUUGCUUGCAAACUGAAGAUGGCGACCGGCGCACGGGUGAGUAACACGUAUCCAACCUGCCGAUAACUCCGGGAUAGCCUUUCGAAAGAAAGAUUAAUACCGGAUAGCAUACGAAUAUCGCAUGAUAUUUUUAUUAAAGAAUUUCGGUUAUCGAUGGGGAUGCGUUCCAUUAGUUUGUUGGCGGGGUAACGGCCCACCAAGACAACGAUGGAUAGGGGUUCUGAGAGGAAGGUCCCCCACAUUGGAACUGAGACACGGUCCAAACUCCUACGGGAGGCAGCAGUGAGGAAUAUUGGUCAAUGGACGAGAGUCUGAACCAGCCAAGUAGCGUGAAGGAUGACUGCCCUAUGGGUUGUAAACUUCUUUUAUACGGGAAUAAAGUGAGGCACGCGUGCCUUUUUGUAUGUACCGUAUGAAUAAGGAUCGGCUAACUCCGUGCCAGCAGCCGCGGUAAUACGGAGGAUCCGAGCGUUAUCCGGAUUUAUUGGGUUUAAAGGGAGCGUAGGCGGACGCUUAAGUCAGUUGUGAAAGUUUGCGGCUCAACCGUAAAAUUGCAGUUGAUACUGGGUGUCUUGAGUACAGUAGAGGCAGGCGGAAUUCGUGGUGUAGCGGUGAAAUGCUUAGAUAUCACGAAGAACUCCGAUUG